AUGAGCAUGAGGGAGGCUGGACAAAGGGUACAACCAAACAUCAGUAGAUUCACUGUGUCCACCAUAAUCCGAAGAUUUAGAGAAGAGAACAGAAUUGAAAGACUGCCACAUGGGGGUGGGAGGACUGGUAUGUUCUCCCCACACCAAGAGACCCUAAUUGUUGAUAUGGUCCGUGAGAACAGUGCCAUUAAACUGAGUGAAAUUCAGCAGAAGAUCAUUGAGGACCAUGUCAAUUUUGAGGGUAUCAACAGUGUCAGCCUCUCUACUGUUGAUCGUGUCCUCAAGCGCAAUAGACUGCGCAUGAAACAGCUAUACAGAGUGCCCUUUGAUCGCAACUCAGACAGAGUCAAAGAGCAAAGAUUCCAGUAUGUACAGAGGGUUUUUCAACUGGAUGCAAUGGAAAGACCCCAUGAAUACAUCUACAUGGAUGAAGCUGGGUUUAAUCUCACCAAAAGGAGAAGGAGAGGCCGUAAUGUGAUUGGCCAUUGGGCCAUUGUUGGUGUUCCUGGGCAGCGUGGUGGCAAUGUCACAUUAUGUGCUGCCAUCAGCAAUCAUGGGGUUGUCCACCAUCAUGCCAACCUGGGGCCCUACAACACUCACCAGCUCCUCAUUUUCCUCAAUCACAUGCGAGAUGCUCUGUUAGGGCAGCAGGAUGAGCAUCCCAUCUAUGUUGUUGUUUGGGACAAUGUGAGUUUUCACAGAGCCCUCCAGGUUAGAGAGUGGUUCAAUAUGAACCAAGGUUUUAUCAAUCUUUGCCUUCCACUAUACUCCCCUUUCCUAAACCCCAUUGAGGAAUUCUUCUCCUCAUGGCGGUGGAAGGUAUAUGGACGCCAACCUUACACCAGGGUAAAUCUCCUGCAAGCCAUGGGACUUGCCUGUGGUGACAUAGGUGUGGAGGCGGGUUUUUACCCCGUUGCCUGGCCAGACAAAAUGUGGCCUGCGAUGUGGAUGAAGUCCUGUGGCCUGACCCAGUACGGAGACAUGAUGCUGUGGCUGAGUAAUGCACUUAUUUCUUUAUUUUUGUACUUUAUUUUUACAUGGGCUUACUGUACACAAGUGGGAAAUGCAUAA
ensembl:lncRNA